GGUGCCAGCUGUCAUGCCUGACAGAAGAUUGUGAUUUCAGGUGGAAAGUCCCCAGCAGGUGCAGAUUGUGUCUGGAGAAUUAAAGAGCUCACUUUGGGGCAAACAACAACAAAGAGGAAGGGCUCUAAGAAGUCUACAACCUAGAGCUACAGACAUCUCAUGCUUGGAAAACGCCAUUACACUUAUACAGUUCGUGCGUGGACUAUAGUAAUGCACAUCAGAUGCCAGCACUUUGUGCCAACUGGGCCUCUGCUGAGAGAAUAAAUGCGGUGGGAGGUCUUGAAAUGCUUUGUGCAACAGACAUGGACAAGAGCCAAUGAGUCACCAAUACCUAUGGAAACACUGCAACUGAAGACACAGUUUUGCAUUAAUCUUAAAAUAGUUCCUGUGCCCUUUUGAAAACUGAUUAUUCACACAUUACAAAAUGAGCAAGGUCUCAGAAUGCAGUAUCUGGAA